UACGUAGGGUGCAAGCGUUGUCCGGAAUUAUUGGGCGUAAAGAGCUCGUAGGCGGUUUGUCGCGUCUGCUGUGAAAACUCGGGGCUUAACCCCGGGCCUGCAGUGGGUACGGGCAGACUAGAGUGCGGUAGGGGAGACUGGAAUUCCUGGUGUAGCGGUGAAAUGCGCAGAUAUCAGGAGGAACACCGGUGGCGAAGGCGGGUCUCUGGGCCGAUACUGACGCUGCGGCACGAAAGCGUGGGGAGCAAACAGG
rnacentral:rRNA from 1 species